CAGUAGCCGCGGGAAUACGUAGGGCGCAAGCGUUAUCCGGAAUUAUUGGGCGUAAAGAGCUCGUAGGCGGUUUGUCGCGUCUGCCGUGAAAGUCCGGGGCUCAACCCCGGAUUUGCGGUGGGUACGGGCAGACUAGAGUGAUGUAGGGGAGACUGGAAUUCCUGGUGUAGCGGUGAAAUGCGCAGAUAUCAGGAGGAACACCGAUGGCGAAGGCAGGUCUCUGGGCAUUAACUGACGCUGAGGAGCGAAAGCAUGGGGAGCGAACAGGAUUAGAUACCCCAGUAGUCCCUGUCUCUUAUAC
rnacentral:rRNA from 1 species